GCAAUCCUUCCUCCUUGGCCUCGCAAAGUCCUGGGAUUACAGGCGUGAGCUACUGGGCCUGACCUACAAAAUGUUUUAUGCUUUCGGCCUAAAUAGUGUUCCUUGGAGAGAAAAUUACCCUGGGAAUGAAUAAACAAGAGCAAUGCAAAUGUUUCUUUUACAUUAGAUUCUUGCAGCCCUGGAAAUCCUAAAUAAUAAUCAUGGCAAUACUACAUUUAUAAGACUAAAAGAUAGGAACUCAAGAAAAAUUUGGUCAUAGCAGUUGGUGAAAAAGUGAAUUUAAGAGAAGUGACAAAAAGAACUACUUGGGGUAAGACCUAUGAAGUAUCUUAAUAAUUUUCUUUAAAAUGUACAAUAGUAGUUACUUUAAAAGAGAGAGGAAUACCAAGGAGACUAGAAUAAUACAGAAAACCACAGGGCUCUCUGUAAUUCUGUAUCUCCAUGCAAGGGCCUGCAUUGUUUAUCACAGUAUCUACAGUUCCUAUCAAACAGGGUAAAUGUUUGAUGAACGAAUACCCUAAUCUAAGAGGCCUGGGCAUACUGCCAACUACCUAGAAAAUUCAGAGGGAAGAAGAAAAUUGUUAUAGAGAAACAGAGCUCAAGAAAUAUUAACAUCAUAUUUUCCUGAGAGAGAGAGAGUAAGCACAAAUGUAUCCCACUGCACCAUGUGGUAUAAGCUCAGGGGGUUACAUAAAGGAAA